rnacentral:rRNA from 1 species
UACAGGGGGUGCAAACGUUGCUCGGAAUCAUUGGGCGUAAAGCGCACGUAGGCGGUUCGUUAUGUCGGAUGUGAAAGCCCUUGGCUUAACCGAGGAAGUGCAUCCGAAACUGGCGAGCUAGAGUACUAAAGAGGAUCGCGGAAUUCCCGGUGUAGAGGUGAAAUUCGUAGAUAUCGGGAGGAACACCGGUGGCGAAGGCGGCGAUCUGGGUAGAUACUGACGCUCAGGGGCGAAAGCGUGGGGAGCAAACCGG